UACAGAGGUCUCGAGCGUUGUUCGGAUUCAUUGGGCGUAAAGGGUGCGUAGGUGGCGCUGUAAGUCGGGUGUGAAAUCCUGAGGCUUAACCUCGGAACUGCAUUCGAUACUGCGGCGCUUGAGGACUGGAGAGGAAACUGGAAUUUACGGUGUAGCAGUGAAAUGCGUAGAGAUCGUAAGGAAGACCAGUGGCGAAGGCGAGUUUCUGGACGGUAACUGACGCUGAGGCACGAAGGCCAGGGGAGCAAACGGG
rnacentral:rRNA from 1 species